rnacentral:rRNA from 1 species
AUUGAACGCUGGCGGCAGGCCUAACACAUGCAAGUCGAACGGUAGCACAGAGAGCUUGCUCUCGGGUGACGAGUGGCGGACGGGUGAGUAAUGUCUGGGAAGCUGCCCGAUGGAGGGGGAUAACUACUGGAAACGGUAGCUAAUACCGCAUAACGUCGCAAGACCAAAGUGGGGGACCUUCGGGCCUCACACCAUCGGAUGUGCCCAGAUGGGAUUAGCUAGUAGGUGGGAUAAUGGCUCACCUAGGCGACGAUCCCUAGCUGGACUGAGAGGAUGACCAGCCACACUGGAACUGAGACACGGUCCAGACUCCUACGGGAGGCAGCAGUGGGGAAUAUUGCACAAUGGGCGCAAGCCUGAUUCAGCCAUGCCGCGUGUAUGAAGAAGGCCUUCGGGUUGUAAAGUACUUUCAGCGGGGAGGAAGGCGGUGAAGUUAAUAGCUUCACCGAUUGACGUUACCCGCAGAAGAAGCACCGGCUAACUCCGUGCCAGCCGCCGCCGUAA